rnacentral:rRNA from 1 species
CACGUAGGGCGCAAGCGUUGUCCGGAAUUAUUGGGCGUAAAGAGCUCGUAGGUGGUUUGUUACGUCCGCUGUGAAAUCCUAGGGCUUAACCCUGGGGCUUGCAGUGGGUACGGGCAGACUAGAGUGCGGUAGGGGUGACUGGAAUUCCUGGUGUAGCGGUGGAAUGCGCAGAUAUCAGGAGGAACACCCGUAGCGAAGGCGGCACUCUGGGCCGAUACUGACACUGAGGAGCGAAAGCGUGGGGAGCGAACAGG